GCUGGGAUAGCUCAAUCAGACGAGCAUGAGAUUCUUAAUCUCAGGGUUGUGGGUUUGAGCUCCAUGUUGAUUCCUGCC